GAUUAGGUAGAUAGAUAGAUACAUUAUCCGUGCAGCAUGGGCCGCACGAGUCGCUGCGGCCGGAUUCUCGGAUUCUUUCCAAAUGAGGGAAAGAUCUAGAUUUGAUCUGAUCCGGCCAGCCUGUGUCGACAUGGGCUGCUCUUAUUUGGUCGUUUGCUUUUGUAAUGGCACCUUUUUAGGCUUAGCUAUGAGAUGCUUAGAGGGACACUUUUUUGAGGUACUAUAAGUAGGAGAAGGAAGAAGGUGGCAAUGCCAUAUGAGCAGCCUCCAAAUUAGGAAAGUCAUCAACGAAGAAGGGAGGAGGAGGAAGAAGAAGCAGAGAGACAAAGAGAGAGAGGCCUUGCAUGGCGAUGAGGGCUUCUUCUGAUAGCCAAGGAUGACUUGCCUGUGGAUAUAUAGCUUGAUCGAUUGCAGUUACAUCUCUGAAUGUACGUGAUCUGUCACUGUGUACAACAGGCAGUCUCCUUGGCUAGCCCGAGUGUCCCUCAUCCUUCAUGCCAGCCUCUCAUCUCUUCUCAAGCCGUAACCCAUUCCUAGCUAGUUGUACUCGACACCAACCACUUCAGUUCAACUGGACUUCUUCCCUACUUCCUCUUUGAUCGAUUCACUGUACCUGACCUGUAAAUUUGUGCAUGCAUAUGCAGGAAAAGCCGUUCGACCAAGAGAGGCCGAAGAGCCCAUGCGCGCUCGCUCGGAUGAGGACAAAUCAUCAUCGGUUCAUCACUCCCUGCACCUCCACGUAGUACAGCACGGAGGACCGACAAAUUGCUCUGUUUGGAUCCGGUGGCUUGUAAUUCUUAUGAACCUUUAGUGGCAUAUGCACGAAGACUUUUCGGCUGUCAUCGACAAGGUCAAGCCGGCUCUAAUAGGGGAGCGGCGACAGCAGCGCGUUGGCGGCUCGUUCUGGCGACAAUAGUGGUUGUUUUGUGGUCUUGGAAUCUCAUUGUAACUUUUAUUAUGUUCCAAAUGCUUUGUACUUCC